AAAUAGGUUAGUGGACCACAGUUGAUUUUUUUAGUAAACGCAAAAUCUUUGGCCUUUUUCCCCACAAUAUUUCAGAUGGAUUGAGAAAUGACUUUAAGAUAAGGAUAGGAUGGGAUUAUCAGGGCUAUUAUAAUCAACUAAAACUAAAACUAAUAUUAAAACCAUAAAAAACAAUUUUGUUAACUUGGGGAAAAAAAAACGUUUUUUAGAGUUGCCAUGCACACACACACACACACACACACACACACACACAUAUAGGCUAUAAACACACACACACACACACACACACACACACACACACACAUAUAGGCUAUACAUUACAAAGGCACAACAAAACUUUAACUGAUAUUAAAAUGAAAUUGAAAGUAUAAAAAAGAAAACUGGAUCAAAAUAUUAAUGAUGUCAGUGAUCCUAAAACAACACUGGGAAUUAUUUAUCAUUUCACCAAAAAAAAUGUGGUUUAAAAAUCAUGUUAAAAGAUUUUUUUAAAUAUAUGUAAUUAUAAACACAGUUUAUGAUGUUCUGAUGAGUUAACAGUCACCAACAACAUUUUUCUUUCUGUGCCUCAGGAUCCCAAAGUCUUCAUUCAUCUUUAUGAGAGCAUGAAACCACCUGCUAGUACUGUAGAAGCCUGGGGCAACGCGGACGGACGCUGUGGCGUCUGCUUCACUCACUUUAGCCAGCUGAAGCAGGAGGCUAUCCGCACGAUCCUCACCCAGGACCGGGCCAUAUGGGCUCCACCUACCACUGCCAACAUCGCAUCCACAAGCCUAGACUCAGGCUCACAAACACUCCCCAGAACCUCAAGCCACCGAUCUGUUGUCUCAGACCCCCAUCAGAGGAAAAGCAAUGCAGCACCAGAUUACUGGAUUAAAGGACGUCAGCACUUGGAGGCCCUGUGGCCCCUGUCCUCAUGCAAAGGAAACAAUUCAAUGUCUCAAAAGUCCUCCCAGAGUCCUUCGCAUGCAGGGAAGGUGAAUGAAAAGGAGAAUGUAACCUCUACAGCACUAUGCAACUACGGCGCUACACAGCCGACGCGUUCUUCCAGUAUGUCCUCUCUGCUCCCUGCAGGAACAUCUGCUGCAUUGUCUUUCUUUGUCCGGUAAGAGGUGCUGACCAGAAAAUAAAAAAUAACUAAAAUAACUAAAGGUUUGUGUUGUGUAAUGUGCAUGUAUCUUAGCUAAACUCUGUCAAAUCACUGAACUUCCACAGGGCAGCACAGAAGUUGAAUGUAAUGGUUAGAAGAGGAAGGCACUUCUCAGAGAGCAGUGCUUCCCAACGCAUGACAAACUUCAGUAGCCUUCUGCUGAAAUCUCCUCCUCUAGCACCAGCAAACAUUUUUCAAGCGGCUAGUAAAAGCAAGGAAACACCUGGGAUGGGAAAGGUAUGGCUUAAAUGUUUACUACAAACGUUAAUUAAUGAAUGUUUGCUACCUAACACAACCAAAAUGUUUGGGUACUUUGUGAUAUUG
rnacentral:lncRNA from 12 species